CCUACGGGAGGCAGCAGUGGGGGAUAUUGCACAAUGGGGGAAACCCUGAUGCAGCGACGCCGCGUGAGUGAAGAAGUAUUUCGGUAUGUAAAGCUCUAUCAGCAGGGAAGAAAAUGACAGUACCGGACCAAGAAGCCCCGGCUAACUACGUGCCAGCAGCCGCGGUAAUACGUAGGGGGCAAGCGUUAUCCGGAUUUACUGGGUGUAAAGGGAGCGUAGACGGUUAUGUAAGUCUGGAGUGAAAGCCCGGGGCCCAACCCCGGGACUGCUCUGGAAACUGUACGGCUGGAGUGCAGGAGAGGUAAGUGGAAUUCCUAGUGUAGCGGUGAAAUGCGUAGAUAUUAGGAGGAACACCAGUGGCGAAGGCGGCUUACUGGACUGUAACUGACGUUGAGGCUCGAAAGCGUGGGGAGCAAACAGGAUUAGAUACCCCAGUAGUC
rnacentral:rRNA from 1 species